rnacentral:tRNA from 1 species
UACCGCGUAGCUCAGUUGGUAGAGCAUCGAUCUAGUAAUUCGAAGGUCGCGGGUUCAACACCCAGGCGCGGCAG